CAACAGCCUUUGGGGUAGAUAUGUGGAAAAUGAGGCAGAGGUUGUGACUGACCUGAGACUACUUAGUCACUCCAUAGCAAAGACAGGAUAAGUUUUUUUUGUUUUUUUUUUUUCUUCUUCUCCCCACCAAAUGGUCUCUCUGACUGCUUCUUACCAUCACAGCUACAGGGAGUAAAUAAAAAGGAAAACCAUAAAAAAUGAAAGCAGUUUCUAUCAUGAUGCAUAGUUUCCAGUUCAUUUUUGUAACCCCUGUUAGUUUCCUGGUGUGGGAGUUUAGGAAUGGCAUACGUCAAAAAAA